rnacentral:rRNA from 1 species
AUUGAACGCUGGCGGCAUGCCUUACACAUGCAAGUCGAACGGUAACAGGUCUUCGGAUGCUGACGAGUGGCGAACGGGUGAGUAAUACAUCGGAACGUGCCCAGACGUGGGGGAUAACGAGGCGAAAGCUUUGCUAAUACCGCAUACGCUCUAAGGAUGAAAGCAGGGGACCGAAAGGCCUUGCGCGUUUGGAGCGGCCGAUGGCAGAUUAGGUAGUUGGUGGGAUAAAAGCUUACCAAGCCGAAGAUCUGUAGCUGGUCUGAGAGGACGACCAGCCACACUGAGACGGAGACACGGCCCAGACUCCUACGGGAGGCAGCAGUGGGGAAUUUUGGGCAAGGGGCGAAAGCCUGAUCCAGCAAUGCCGCGUGCAGGAUGAAGGCCUUCGGGUUGUAAACUGCUUUUGUACGGAACGAAAAGGCCCUGGCUAAUACCUGGGGCACAUGACGGUACCGUAAGAAUAAGCACCGGCUAACUACGUGCCAGCCGCCGCCGUAAUAC